rnacentral:rRNA from 1 species
CUACGGGUGGCUGCAGUGGGGAAUAUUGGACAAUGGGCGAAAGCCUGAUCCAGCCAUGCCGCGUGUGUGAAGAAGGCCUUCGGGUUGUAAAGCACUUUCAGUGGGGAAGAAAGCCUUGGGGCUAAUACCCUCGAGGAAGGACAUCACCCACAGAAGAAGCACCGGCUAACUCCGUGCCAGCAGCCGCGGUAAUACGGAGGGUGCGAGCGUUAAUCGGAAUUACUGGGCGUAAAGCGCGCGUAGGCGGUCUGAUAAGCCGGUUGUGAAAGCCCCGGGCUCAACCUGGGAACGGCAUCCGGAACUGUCAGGCUAGAGUGCAGGAGAGGAAGGUAGAAUUCCCGGUGUAGCGGUGAAAUGCGUAGAGAUCGGGAGGAAUACCAGUGGCGAAGGCGGCCUUCUGGACUGACACUGACGCUGAGGUGCGAAAGCGUGGGUAGCAAACAGGAUUAGAUACCCUUGUAGUC